AAAAAUAAAACUGAAGAUUAAAAAGGCAUUGACAAGAAUGAAGAAGGCUUUAUUUUUUCUCCUAUAUAUAUUCUUAACUAAGAGCUAUGUUGUCGUAUUACGUGUUGUCUUUCUUGGAAAUGCACCGAGCACCUAGUUGUAGAAGGUGAGGUUGUAUUUCACAAACAUCCAAAAAAUCCAUAAUAAGUUUCAUCCAUAUAAUAUAAUUUAAAUUCUGAUUCAAAAGUGCUAAAAAAUAAUCUUCUUAAUAGCCUCAAUUACACAUAAACCUCAAUUACAUUGUUACUUU
rnacentral:lncRNA from 1 species